CCUANGGGAGGCAGCAGUGGGGAAUAUUGCACAAUGGAGGAAACUCUGAUGCAGCAACGCCGCGUGAAGGAUGAAGGUUUUCGGAUUGUAAACUUCUUUGAUUGGGGAAGAAUAAAAGACUGUACCCAAGGAACAAGCCACGGCUAACUACGUGCCAGCAGCCGCGGUAAUACGUAGGUGGCGAGCGUUGUCCGGAAUUACUGGGUGUAAAGGGCGUGUAGGCGGGGAUAUAAGUCAGAUGUGAAAGUCCAUGGCUUAACUAUGGGAUUGCAUCUGAAACUAUAUUUCUUGAGUGCUGGAGAGGGAAGCGGAAUUCCUAGUGUAGCGGUGAAAUGCGUAGAUAUUAGGAGGAACACCAGUGGCGAAGGCGGCUUGCUGGACAGUAACUGACGCUGAGGCGCGAAAGCGUGGGGAGCAAACAGGAUUAGAUACCCCUNUANUC
rnacentral:rRNA from 1 species